rnacentral:rRNA from 1 species
GAUGAACGCUAGCUACAGGCUUAACACAUGCAAGUCGAGGGGAAACGACAUCGAAAGCUUGCUUUUGAUGGGCGUCGACCGGCGCACGGGUGAGUAACGCGUAUCCAACCUGCCCACCACUUGGGGAUAACCUUGCGAAAGUAAGACUAAUACCCAAUGAUAUCUCUAGAAGACAUCUGAAAGAGAUUAAAGAUUUAUCGGUGAUGGAUGGGGAUGCGUCUGAUUAGCUUGUUGGCGGGGUAACGGCCCACCAAGGCAACGAUCAGUAGGGGUUCUGAGAGGAAGGUCCCCCACAUUGGAACUGAGACACGGUCCAAACUCCUACGGGAGGCAGCAGUGAGGAAUAUUGGUCAAUGGACGAGAGUCUGAGCCAGCCAAGUAGCGUGCAGGAAGACGGCCCUAUGGGUUGUAAACUGCUUUUAUAAGGGAAUAAAGUGAGUCUCGUGAGACUUUUUGCAUGUACCUUAUGAAUAAGGACCGGCUAAUUCCGUG